GCCGCCGCCACCGCCGCCGCCGCCGCCGCCCGCCGCCACGGUCCCGGAGCCUCCCGGGCGCGCGGCUCCGCACGCGGCCCGCGAGCAGGGGGGCGUGGCGCGCGGACACGGCGGGGCGGCGCGCGCCCGGGAAGCCCCGGGGGCGGGGCCUGGCGAGGGCGGGGCCCGCUUGGCGACUGCACCCGGGACUCCCUCACGCCGCCCGCGGCCGCGCUACCAAGGAGCCGAGCGCUGGGCCCCGCCCCUUCCGAGCCCGCUCCCAGCGAGAGACGCAGAUCGGAUGAAUCUCCCGGCGGAGAGCUAUCGGCUUUUCCGGAAUGGAGGACUCGGCUCGUGACGGAACAAAGCCCGAAGAAGCAGGGAGCCUUAGACCCCGCUCGCCUGGCCGCCGACGUCCCCGGUCUGCGGUGGCCCGAGCCCCUGCCUGGUUGGAGGGCACUCCCCUGCCGCGGGGGACUUCGGGUCUCCACCCCUCUCCCGAGGCGCCCGCCCAGGCGGGACCUGCCCCAACUCUUGGCGGGCGGGAUUCUCCUGGCGUGGCCUAGUGCUUGUCAGGUUCCACCUCCUAAGGCCAUCACUCAGGGGAUCAGAUUUCAACGCAUGAAUUUUUUGGGGAACAAAAACCUUCAAUCCGUAACAGAGAAGAAGAAAAUAAAUUGUCCCAAUGUAUUAAUGUUUGUCAACUGCAUGGAAGAAGGAACACAACUGGCAAUAAGAAGACGUAGCCCAACAAGAUGACAGAGUUAACAGCUAUUUAUCUGGUUCUUGACUUUAAUAAAAAAUCCACUAGGACCA
rnacentral:lncRNA from 13 species